ACAUAAAUUCAAUAUAUAUGCUGACUUCGAAUCAGUCGGUUGGGGGUUCGAAUCCCUCAGGGUGUGCCA
rnacentral:tRNA from 1 species